CUGAAGAGAACACUUGAAAACAGCCUUUUGAAGUAGUGAACAUAUUUUACACAGUGUGGCUCAUAAAAUGUGAAAAAAUGAAUAUCAAAUAGAAUGUCUGUUUGCUACAUUAACACAUUAAUUUAUACAUAAUGCACACAAAACUGGCAAGACGUGACUGAAAUAAGCCAUUUCAAUCUGAUUGACCGACUCUAUGCAACUUCCAGGAGUUGGAGGAUGCUUGAGUCCACCUGCAAAUGAAAUUAAUGAACUCUUUUGAGGAAGAACUAAUCGCUGGAUUUGACAAUAUUCACCAGACAGACUGAAAUGGAUAUACAAUAGUUUGUGACCGAUCGUGUGACAC